AAGUCGUAACAAGGUUUCCGUAGGUGAACCUGCGGAAGGAUCAUUACAAAAUUUCGAGUGCUGAGCAGUCGCAUUGCCUCUUGUGGGCGAUGUUGACUGCCGACACCACUUUACGCUUGUUGUGUUUGACAGAGUUAUGUUGGAUUUAAAUAUAGACAACUUUUAACAAUGGAUCUCUUGGCUCUU
rnacentral:misc_RNA from 1 species